GACGUCGAAUAUCGACGUCAUAAACACCAAAGUUGAUCGUGUUUGUGAGGUCGACGUCAUAAACACCAAAGUUUAUCGUGUUUAUGACGUCGAAUAUCGACGUCAUAAACACCAAAGUUGAUCGUGUUUAUAACGUCCACGUCAUAAACACCAAAGUUGAUCGUGUUUAUGACGUCGAAAAUCGAGCUCAUAAACAACAAAGUUGAUCGUGUUUAUAACGUCGACGUCACAAACACCAACGUUGACCGUGUUUAUGACGUCGAUAUUCGACGUC
rnacentral:miRNA from 1 species